rnacentral:rRNA from 1 species
UACGGAGGGUGAAAGCGUUAUCAGGAAUCACUGGGUUUAAAGGGCGCGUAGGCGGCUUGAUAAGUAAGGGGUGAAAGCCCGCAGCUUAACUGCGGAACUGCCUUUGAUACUGUCGAGCUUGAAAGAGGUUGAGGUCAGCGGAACGUGACAUGUAGCGGUGAAAUGCAUAGAUAUGUCACAGAACACCGAUUGCGAAGGCAGCUGGCUGGACAUACUUUGACUCUGAGGCACGAAAGCGUGGGGAGCGAACAGG